rnacentral:rRNA from 1 species
ACGCUGGCGGCGUGCCUAAUACAUGCAAGUCGAGCGAAUGGAUUAAGAGCUUGCUCUUAUGAAGUUAGCGGCGGACGGGUGAGUAACACGUGGGUAACCUGCCCAUAAGACUGGGAUAACUCCGGGAAACCGGGGCUAAUACCGGAUAACAUUUUGAACCGCAUGGUUCGAAAUUGAAAGGCGGCUUCGGCUGUCACUUAUGGAUGGACCCGCGUCGCAUUAGCUAGUUGGUGAGGUAACGGCUCACCAAGGCAACGAUGCGUAGCCGACCUGAGAGGGUGAUCGGCCACACUGGGACUGAGACACGGCCCAGACUCCUACGGGAGGCAGCAGUAGGGAAUCUUCCGCAAUGGACGAAAGUCUGACGGAGCAACGCCGCGUGAGUGAUGAAGGCUUUCGGGUCGUAAAACUCUGUUGUUAGGGAAGAACAAGUGCUAGUUGAAUAAGCUGGCACCUUGACGGUACCUAACCAGAAAGCCACGGCUAACUACGUGCCAGCAGCCGCGGUAAUACGUAGGUGGCAAGCGUUAUCCGGAAUUAUUGGGCGUAAAGCGCGCGCAGGUGGUUUCUUAAGUCUGAUGUGAAAGCCCACGGCUCAACCGUGGAGGGUCAUUGGAAACUGGGAGACUUGAGUGCAGAAGAAGAAAGUGGAAUUCCAUGUGUAGCGGUGAAAUGCGUAGAGAUAUGGAGGAACACCCAGUGGCGAAAGCGACUUUUCUGGUCUGUAACUGACACUGA